rnacentral:rRNA from 1 species
ACUCCUACGGGAGGCAGCAGUAGGGAAUCUUCCACAAUGGGCGCAAGCCUGAUGGAGCAACACCGCGUGAGUGAAGAAGGGUUUCGGCUCGUAAAGCUCUGUUGUUAAAGAAGAACACGUAUGAGAGUAACUGUUCAUACGUUGACGGUAUUUAACCAGAAAGUCACGGCUAACUACGUGCCAGCAGCCGCGGUAAUACGUAGGUGGCAAGCGUUAUCCGGAUUUAUUGGGCGUAAAGAGAGUGCAGGCGGUUUUCUAAGUCUGAUGUGAAAGCCUUCGGCUUAACCGGAGAAGUGCAUCGGAAACUGGAUAACUUGAGUGCAGAAGAGGUAGUGGAACUCCAUGUGUAGCGGUGGAAUGCGUAGAUAUAUGGAAGAACACCAGUGGCGAAGGCGGCUACCUGGUCUGCAACUGACGCUGAGACUCGAAAG